UAAAACGGCGUUCGCCGUGGAGUCCACACAUUUUAAGCGCGAGACCUUGUCUAAACACGGCCAAAGUGCCAAACACAAGAAGUGCCGUGACAAAUGUGUGGGAAAGAGUUCAGCAUCGAGUUCAAUUGUUGAUGCUUUUGAACGACAGGAUGCUGCCAGCCGUUCCGCUUUGCUGGCAGAGUUGAAAAUAAAAUUUAACACCGCCUAUACGAUUGCCAAAGAAGAGCUAGCCUUCACUAAAUUUAAACCGAUGUUGCAGCUCCUGAAAAAGAACGGCGUUGAGAUCAACAUGACAUACGCAAAUGACAGGUCAUGUGCCAACAUCAUUGGCGUAAUAGCGGACACCCUCCAGGAGAACACCGCAGUUCAAGUGUCGUCAUCGCAAUACGUUGCAUUCAUUAUUGAUGGAGACACGGACAUAUCCGUCAAAGAAUGUUUAAUAGUGUAUGUGCGCAUUCUGCUUGAUGGACAUCCGAGAAACAUCCUUGUAGGGCAUGUUGAGUUGGAACACGCCAAUGCUGAUGGUAAGAAUGUUUUUGUUUUGAAUGUUUUAGUUUUAAAAAACAUUGCCUAUUUAGUAGUAAUAGCAUGCUGGCAAAGCAGUUAUCUAUAUCUAUAUAUAUGUAAUAUAUAUAUUACAUAAGGUCACUUUUGUAAUGUCACAAAUAAUCAUGUGUUUUAUUUGUUUACUAGAUUUUCUAUUUUAAUCAUAAUAAUGUCAUCUGUAAUUGUUAAAUUAUUAUUUCUGCUAUACUAUUUAAACAGCAUUUGGAUAUUAUUUUAGGAAUCUAUGCAGCCACCAAGUCAGCAUUUGCUGGUCUUGGUGAGUCAUGCCAGGACUGGCUCCAGAAGACUGUGGCGAUGGGAGCUGAUGGAGCAGCUGUGAAUUUUGGAAGGAAGGGAGGAGUAUCAGCAAAACUUCAAGAAGAGGCAGGAAAGCACAUUAUCCCAUUUCACUGCAUGCCUCAUAGAUUGGAGCUUGCUCUGCUAUCUGCCCAAAAGGAUUCACCUUGGGUAAGCAAUGUAUACAACCUGCUCAACUUAAUCUGGAAGACUUAUCACUACAGCUCUAAAUCCAGAAGAGAGUUAAAGUGCCUUGGAGUCGAACUGGAUGUGUCUGUAAACAAUCCAAGUGGAGUCAAGGGAACAAGAUGGUUGCCACAUGUAUCCAGGGCAUUGGAUGUGCUUCUGAAGCAAGGGAAGAAGGAGGGGACUCUGGAAGAUGCUGGGCAGUACACUGCUGUAUAUACUCAUAUGGAACACCUUGCUGCAUCAUCAGCUAACGCUGAUAUAGCUGGCAGAGCAAAGCAUGUCAAGGAGACUAUGGAGGAUGGCUCAUUCCUGGCAUUUUGCCAUUUCUUGGCAGAUUUAUUUUCUGCCAUCAGUAAAUACAGCCUAUUACUACAGAGAAAUGAUGUGAUCCUCCCACAGGUCAGGCAGAACAUGUAACAGACACUGCAGCAACCAAAGCUGUCCAGUGUUUCCAGGUGUUUAACCAUGAUUCUUGGCCGGAAACUUUGGAGGAGUUGGUUGAUUAUGGAAUUGAGGAGGUGCACUAUUUGUUGGACCAUUUUCAAUCUGUACUGGAAAGGAAUGGCUGUGACUGUGCCCUGGCUAAAGAGGAGUUUCAGGCAUUGAAAACUCUAGUGUUCAUGUCCUUCAAAGACAAGAGCUACCAUGGGCUAUGGGAAAUCCUUCUGACCAAGGAACCCUAUUGCUUGGAUUUACAGAACAUCCUUCAUCUGGUGAAGAUCAUGUUGGUCCUUCCUGUGUCCUCAGCACAAUGUGAAAGAGGGUUCUCAGUCCAGAAAAGGAUAAAAUCAGACGUCAGGUCUUCAUUAAAUCCAAGCACUGUAGAAGAUCUGAUCCGAAUCAGUGUUGAGGGUCCUUCUUUGGAGGCAUUUGAUGCCUCAGCCGCAGUAAAGAGAUGGAUGGAAGAGGGACAAAGAGCCAGAAGACCAAAUUUCAAAUCCUGGCCACAGGAUGCUUAAAGCCCAUUGAUUGCGUUUUAUUUUUAAUAAAAUUAAUGAAUUAACAUAUACAUUGUAGUUGUGGUGCUUCUUUAUUUUUGGAUGU